rnacentral:rRNA from 1 species
UACGAAGGGUGCAAGCGUUAAUCGGAAUUACUGGGCGUAAAGCGUGCGUAGGCGGUUGGCUAAGUCAGAUGUGAAAGCCCUGGGCUCAACCUGGGAAUGGCAUUUGAAACUGGCCGGCUAGAGUGCGGUAGAGGAUGGCGGAAUUCCCGGUGUAGCGGUGAAAUGCGUAGAGAUCGGGAGGAACAUCCGUGGCGAAGGCGGCCAUCUGGACCAGCACUGACGCUGAGGCACGAAAGCGUGGGGAGCAAACAGGAUUAGAAACCCCCGUAGUCC